UGCAGUCGACGGCAGCACGGGGGCAACCCUGGUGGCGAGUGGCGAACGGGUGAGUAACAUAUCGGAACGUGCCCUGGAGUGGGGGAUAACUAGUCGAAAGAUUAGCUAAUACCGCAUACGAUCUACGGAUGAAAGUGGGGGAUCGCAAGACCUCAUGCUCGUGGAGCGGCCGAUAUCUGAUUAGCUAGUUGGUGGGGUAAAGGCCUACCAAGGCAUCGAUCAGUAGCUGGUCUGAGAGGACGACCAGCCACACUGGGACUGAGACACGGCCCAGACUCCUACGGGAGGCAGCAGUGGGGAAUUUUGGACAAUGGGCGCAAGCCUGAUCCAGCAAUGCCGCGUGAGUGAAGAAGGCCUUCGGGUUGUAAAGCUCUUUUGUCAGGGAAGAAACGGUUCGGGUUAAUACCUUGGGCUAAUGACGGUACCUGAAGAAUAAGCACCGGCUAACUACGUGCCAGCAGCCGCGGUAAUACGUAGGGUGCAAGCGUUAAUCGGAAUUACUGGGCGUAAAGCGUGCGCAGGCGGUUGUGCAAGACAGAUGUGAAAUCCCCGGGCUCAACCUGGGAAUUGCAUUUGUGACUGUACGGCUAGAGUGUGUCAGAGGGGGGUAGAAUUCCACGUGUAGCAGUGAAAUGCGUAGAGAUGUGGAGGAAUACCGAUGGCGAAGGCAGCCCCCUGGGAUAACACUGACGCUCAUGCACGAAAGCGUGNGGAGCAAACAGGAUUAGAUACCCUGGUAGUCCACGCCCUAAACGAUGUCUACUAGUUGUCGGGUCUUUAUUGACUUGGUAACGCAGCUAACGCGUGAAGUAGACCGCCUGGGGAGUACGGUCGCAAGAUUAAAACUCAAAGGAAUUGACGGGGNNCCGCACAAGCGGNGGAUGAUGUGGAUUAAUUCGAUGCAACGCGAAAAANNUUACCUACCCUU
rnacentral:rRNA from 1 species